rnacentral:rRNA from 1 species
UACGUAGGGUCCGAGCGUUGUCCGGAAUUAUUGGGCGUAAAGAGCUCGUAGGCGGUUUGUCGCGUCUGCUGUGAAAUCCCGAGGCUCAACCUCGGGCCUGCAGUGGGUACGGGCAGACUGGAGUGCGGUAGGGGAGAAUGGAAUUCCUGGUGUAGCGGUGGAAUGUGCAGAUAUCAGGAGGAACACCGAUGGCGAAGGCAGUUCUCUGGGCCGUAACUGACGCUGAGGAGCGAAAGCGUGGGGAGCGAACAGG